rnacentral:rRNA from 1 species
AGUGAACGCUGGCGGUAGGCCUAACACAUGCAAGUCGAACGGCAGCACAGUAAGAGCUUGCUCUUACGGGUGGCGAGUGGCGGACGGGUGAGGAAUACAUCGGAAUCUACUUUUUCGUGGGGGAUAACGUAGGGAAACUUACGCUAAUACCGCAUACGACCUACGGGUGAAAGCAGGGGAUCUUCGGACCUUGCGCGAUUGAAUGAGCCGAUGUCGGAUUAGCUAGUUGGCGGGGUAAAGGCCCACCAAGGCGACGAUCCGUAGCUGGUCUGAGAGGAUGAUCAGCCACACUGGAACUGAGACACGGCCCAGACUCCUACGGGAGGCAGCAGUGGGGAAUAUUGGACAAUGGGCGCAAGCCUGAUCCAGCCAUGCCGCGUGGGUGAAGAAGGCCUUCGGGUUGUAAAGCCCUUUUGUUGGGAAAGAAAAGCAGCAGGUUAAUACCCCGCUGUUCUGACGGUACCCAAAGAAUAAGCACCGGCUAACUUCGUG